rnacentral:rRNA from 1 species
GACGAACGCUGGCGGCGUGCUUAACACAUGCAAGUCGAACGAUGAAGGGGAGCUUGCUCCUUGGAUUAGUGGCGAACGGGUGAGUAACACGUGAGUAACCUGCCCUGGACUCUGGGAUAACCCCGAGAAAUCGGAGCUAAUACCGGAUAGGACCUUGAACCGCAUGGUUUGGGGUGGAAAGUUUUUUCGGUCUGGGAUGGACUCGCGGCCUAUCAGCUUGUUGGUGAGGUAAUGGCUCACCAAGGCGUCGACGGGUAGCCGGCCUGAGAGGGUGACCGGCCACACUGGGACUGAGACACGGCCCAGACUCCUACGGGAGGCAGCAGUGGGGAAUAUUGCACAAUGGGCGCAAGCCUGAUGCAGCAACGCCGCGUGCGGGAUGACGGCCUUCGGGUUGUAAACCGCUUUUAGUAAGGAAGAAGGGGAGCUUGCUCCUUGACGGUACUUGCAGAAAAAGGACCGGCUAACUACGUGCCAGCCGCCGCGGUAACAC